rnacentral:misc_RNA from 1 species
GGAAGUAGAAGUCGUAACAAGGUUUCCGUAGGUGAACCUGCGGAAGGAUCAUUACUGAGUGAGGGCCCCUCGGGGUCCAACCUCCCACCCGUGUUUAACGAACCUUGUUGCUUCGGCGGGCCCGCCUCACGGCCGCCGGGGGGCAUUUGCCCCCGGGCCCGCGCCCGCCGAAGCCACCUGUGAACGCUGUCUGAAGUAUGCAGUCUGAGACAAUUAUUAAAUUAAUUAAAACUUUCAACAACGGAUCUCUUGGUUCCG